rnacentral:lncRNA from 1 species
UGGUGGCAAGAAAGAAUGAUGGUGCAAAGAACCUUGGAGCAAUAACAAAAAGGUCUCUCCCUCUCUCCCUGAGUUUUUUCGGUUAUGUUAAUUUUAGAUCUAUAUGUUUUUUAUGUUCUAACUUACUUUUAAAUUUGUUAUUGAUUUGGUUGUUACAGUAUAGUUGAUGGCAGAAAAGAAUGAUGGUGCAAAGAACCUUGGACCAAUAACAAAAAGGUCUCUCUCUCCCCGAGUUUUUUCGGUUAUGUUAAUUUUAGAUCUAUAUGUUUUUUAUGUUCUAACUUACUUUUAAAUUUGUUAUUGAUUUGGUUGUUACAGUAUAGUUGGUGGCAAGAAAGAAUGAUGGUGCAAAGAACCUUGGAACAAUAACAAAAAGGUUAUGGUUUAAUUUAUUUUGUAUUUUUGAAGUUUUCCGUUUAUUGUAUUUUUUUCCCAAAAAUGUAUUCUCCCAUUUAUCAUCAAAUAAUGUUUUUGAU